rnacentral:rRNA from 1 species
AUUGAACGCUGGCGGCAGGCUUAACACAUGCAAGUCGAGCGGGGGAAGGUAGCUUGCUACCGGACCUAGCGGCGGACGGGUGAGUAAUGCUUAGGAAUCUGCCUAUUAGUGGGGGACAACAUCUCGACAGGGAUGCUAAUACCGCAUACGUCCUACGGGAGAAAGCGGGGGAUCUUCGGACCUUGCGCUAAUAGAUGAGCCUAAGUCGGAUUAGCUAGUUGGUGGGGUAAAGGCAUACCAAGGCGACGAUCUGUAGCGGGUCGGAGAGGAUGAUCCGCCACACUGGGACUGAGACACGGCCCAGACUCCUACGGGAGGCAGCAGUGGGGAAUAUUGGACAAUGGGGGGAACCCUGAUCCAGCCAUGCCGCGUGUGUGAAGAAGGCCUUAUGGUUGUAAAGCACUUUAAGCGAGGAGGAGGCUACUCUAGUUAAUACCUAGGGAUAGUGGACGUUACUCGCAGAAUAAGCACCGGCUAACUCUGUGCCAGCAGCCGCCGUAA